GAUCAUGGCUCAGGAUGAACGCUGGCGGCGUGCUUAAUACAUGCAAGUCGAACGAAGCACUUCUCCCGUUGAUUGAAUUAGCUUGCUAAUGAUUGAAACAAUUGAAGUGACUGAGUGGCGGACGGGUGAGUAACGCGUGGGUAACCUGCCUUGUACAGGGGGAUAACAGUUGGAAACGACUGCUAAUACCGCAUAAGCGCACAGUACCGCAUGGUACGGUGUGAAAACUCCAGUGG
rnacentral:rRNA from 1 species